GCUGGACACAGUGGCGCAUGCCUGUAGUCCUAGCUACUCAGGGAGGCUGAAGCAGGAGGAUCACUUGAGUCCAGGAGUUCUGGGCUGUAGUGUGCUAUGCCAAUCGGGUGUCUGCAUUAAGUUCAGCAUCACUAUGGUGACCUUCCAGGAGCAGGGGACCACCAGGUUGCCUAAAGAGGGACAAACAGGGCUAGGUCAGAAAUGGAGCAGGUCAAAACUCCCGUGCUGAUCAGUAGUGGGAUCACACCUGUGAAUAGCUACUCUGCACUCCAGCCUGGACAACACAGUGAGACCCCAUCUCU
rnacentral:SRP_RNA from 1 species